rnacentral:lncRNA from 1 species
GAACCAAAAACAUUCAAGGAUGAGUGGAGACAGCUGGGUCCUCCGUAGAGGAAUCUCAGUAAGAAGUGAUGUUGCUGAGCCGUAGGAAUCUGGUCUGUGUGGCGUGAGUGAUACUGUUGUGAAGGAUGAAACAGCUGGCAUCUUGUCUCAGAGAUGGAAGAGACAUCAGCACAUACUAUAUGAUUGCUUGCCAGAAGGCAGCCAUUUGUGAUGUGCUCUUUACAACGAUGGAGGGAUUCAGGUACAGCGCCCUGUCCUCAGGGUGGUGCUGUUGCACCGAUGGAAUCUGUGGAAGUGGACCAGGUCAGGGCGUCUGUGCUAGCAGAACAGCCGCCUGUGGUUCGUCUAGGAUGAAGUUAGAUCUCAUCAGAGCUGAUGAUCGUAAAGCAAGGCCAGCCCACGCUCACCCUCUCUCAGCCUUUUCUGCUUCCACUUCUGUGCCAGGUUGUGGCGCAGCCGAGUGGCGGGAGAGUCAGUAG